rnacentral:rRNA from 1 species
CGCUGGCGGCGUGCUUAACACAUGCAAGUCGAACGAGGCACCUUGCAGAAGUUUCGGAUGGAAGCGGAGGCGACCGAGUGGCGGACGGGUGAGUACGCGUGGGGAACCUGCCCCAUUCCGGGGGAUACCAGUUGGAAACGACUGUUAAUACCGCAUAAGCGCACGGAAGGACAUCCUUUUGUGUGAAAAAACUGAGGUGGAAUGGGAUGGCCCCGCGUCUGAUUAGCCAGUUGGCAGGGUAACGGCCUACCAAAGCGACGAUCAGUAGCCGGCCUGAGAGGGCGACCGGCCACAUUGGGACUGAGACACGGCCCAAACUCCUACGGGGGGCAGCAGUGGGGAAUAUUGCACAAUGGGGGAAACCCUGAUGCAGCCGAUGCCGCGUGAGUGAAGAAGUAUUUCGGUAUGUAAAGCUCUAUCAGCAGGGAAGAAGAUGACGGUACCUGCACAAGAAGCCCCGGCUAACUACGUGCCAGCCGCCGC